rnacentral:rRNA from 1 species
AACGAACGCUGGCGGCAUGCCUAACACAUGCAAGUCGAACGAGACCUUCGGGUCUAGUGGCGCACGGGUGCGUAACGCGUGGGAACCUGCCUUUAGGUUCGGAAUAACUCAGAGAAAUUUGAGCUAAUACCGGAUGAUGUCUUCGGACCAAAGAUUUAUCGCCUUUAGAUGGGCCCGCGUUUGAUUAGCUAGUUGGUGGGGUAAAGGCCUACCAAGGCGACGAUCCAUAGCUGGUCUGAGAGGAUGAUCAGCCACACUGGGACUGAGACACGGCCCAGACUCCUACGGGAGGCAGCAGUGGGGAAUAUUGGACAAUGGGCGAAAGCCUGAUCCAGCAAUGCCGCGUGAGUGAUGAAGGCCUUAGGGUUGUAAAGCUCUUUUACCCGAGAUGAUAAUGACAGUAUCGGGAGAAUAAGCUCCGGCUAACUCCGUG